CAAGUCGCACGAGAAAGUGGAGCAAUCCAUGAGUAAAGUGGCGUACGGGUGAGUAACACGUGACUAACCUACCCUCGAGUGGGGAAUAACUUCGGGAAACCGAGGCUAAUACCGCAUAACAUCUUCUGGCUGAGAUGCCGGUUGAUCAAAGCAGCGAUGGGCUUGAGGAGGGGGUCGCGGCUGAUUAGCUAGUUGGUGAGGUAACGGCUCACCAAGGCGAUGAUCAGUAGCCGGCCUGAGAGGGCGCUCGGUCACACUGGAACUGAAACACGGUCCAGACUCCUACGGGAGGCAGCAGUGGGGAAUUUUGCGCAAUGGGGGAAACCCUGACGCAGCAACGCCGCGUGGAGGAUGAAGUCCCUUGGGACGUAAACUCCUUUCGAUCGGGACGAUUAUGACGGUACCGGAAGAAGAAGCCCCGGCUAACUUCGUGCCAGCAGCCGCGGUAAUACGAGGGGGGCAAGCGUUGUUCGGAAUUAUUGGGCGUAAAGGGCGCGUAGGCGGUGCGGUAAGUCUGUUGUGAAAUCUCCGGGCUCAACUCGGAGCUUGCAUCAGAAACUGCCGUGCUUGAGUGUGGGAGAGGUGAGUGGAAUUCCCGGUGUAGCCGUGAAAUGCGUAGAUAUCGGGAGGAACACCUGUGGCGAAAGCGGCUCACUGGACCACAACUGACGCUGAUGCGCGAAAGCUAGGGGAGCAAACAGGAUUAGAUACCCUGGUAGUCCUAGCCCUAAACGAUGAUCGCUUGGUGUGAUAGGUACCCAAUCCUAUCGUGCCGGAGCUAACGCGUUAAGCGAUCCGCCUGGGGAGUACGGUCGCAAGGCUGAAACUCAAAGGAAUUGACGGGGGCCCGCACAA
rnacentral:rRNA from 1 species